rnacentral:lncRNA from 1 species
UCCUCUUGUAACCAACCCCCAAUCCAUACAAAACUCCCAGACAUAUAAUUAUGGAGAAGAAGCCAUGGAGUUUUAUGUACCUGUUUAAGAUGAUUGGUAGUGGUAGUGGCAGCGGCAGUGGCUUAUGGCGGAUGCGGUGGAAAGGGAAGUUCACGUUGCAUCUUUGGUUUAUUAAUGAUUUUCUUUUCAAAAUUGUGUCGGUUUUCGAAGCCAUAUUUCUGGUUUCAACUCUCUGUUUCUUUUUCCUAUGUUGCGGCUGCCAUUUCUGAUUAUGAUUUUAACUAUAAUCAUUCGGAUGAAGCCAUGAAUGAAUUUUCAAGGAGAGACUAUGUUCAGUAUGAUUGGGUAAUGAAUGUUUUUGGGUUGUAAUCUCUGAAAUUAUCUUUGUCAUCGAACUUUUGUUUAUGUUCAAAUGUUCAAUGAUAUAGAAAACCUAAUAUUAGCUUAUUACAGUUCUGGAG